AAUGCUUUCUAUGCUGCAUGGCACUGUUGGAGAACUAGGACUUAACCAGUGAAUGGAGGGGUUGGAGUGGUUCCAGAAGAGGAAUCAGUAAGCACAAAAGCAUGGAGGGGAGGCUCACCUUGGCAGGCUCUGGUGACCCACUACAUCUAAUCAGACUGGAGGGGAACACCUACUCAGGGGAGUGGGAGAAAGGAAGCCAGAUGGUCAUUUUUUAGGAUUUUUGCUGAAGACUACCAGACGCUUCUAAAAGAUGCAAAGCAGCUCUGCCCUGAUGAUGGUAGAUGGCCGUGUCCCUGAUCAAGACUGAAAUGCAUUUUACAGGAAGAAGCAAGUGUUGUGAGGAAAGGAGUUGCUGCUGCUGCUGCUGCUCUAUCCCAUCGUGACAGCCUGCUGUUACUCACAGCUGGCAGACACUGUGAACUUUGAUGCCACGUCAGCCGCCCGGAACCAUUCUGCU